GGAGAGUCCAGACUAUAAACUGGAGACUCUGAGGUGGAGGAGGUGAUAAACAGGAGGGUGUGUGUUGUGAGAGGAUGAGCUGUGUCCUGAUGAUCCAGAGGUUGAAGCAGACUCUGACUGGACCAUGUUACCUUUUCCUGAAGGUCUAAACGAAGUUCAGAGGGAACAGAACCCUUUAUUUUUCCAAACUAUGGAAAAAUCUGCCACUGCACAUCAGACAAUCCUCACUCUCACUGUCCAUUUAUAAAACUUGUCUUAAAACCCAUUUUUAUUCCUUGGAUCUGCUCCUUAGUGUUUUUAUUGUUUGUUUUGAGUCUCAUGAUCUUAUUCUUACCUAUGUACAUCCUGUUGUUUUGGCUGUGGUUGUUUUUAAAGUGCUCUAUAAAUAAAGUUGAGUUAACAUGUCCUGACCUGCCACCAUCAACAGUCCUUCAUGUUGUUGUGUAGCUACGUUGUCUCACCACAGCUGAUUCAGACUCCGCCUAUGGAAGUCUGCUGGACCAGACAACAUUCCUGCAGACCAGCUGAUGUUUUCACAGACAUCCCCAACAUCUCUGAGCAGCGCUGUUGUUCCAAUGUCUCUCAAGACCACUUCAAUCGUCCCUGUGUCAAAGAGGUCUACAGUGUCCUGCCUCAGUGACGAUCUGCCUCCACAACUGGAUCCUGGACGUCCUGCCAGGGAGACCUCAGUCAGUCCGGACCAGGGGCAGAAUCUCCAACACCACCACACUGAACACUGGGGUCCCUCUGGGCUGUGCGCUCAGUCCUCUGCUGUUCUGCACAGUUUGAAUCACAUCAUCGAGUUUACAGAUGACUCGACCGUGGUGGAUCUCAUCAGCAGGAACCAACAACCUGUCUCUGAACGCUGACAAAACCAAGGAGACGGUGUCCCACCUGGUGGAGAACCUCACCUGGUCUCUCAACAGCAUCGCUCUACUUACUGAGGAAGCUGAGAGUAGAGAUGAGCUGAUACAUUCUUAUCCAAACGGACUGGGAGCUGUAAUCAAACCAGAGGAUGAGGAGGUUUUUCUGCAUCUUUAGUUUUUAGCUUUUCACUCUGAGAUUCGUCACAUUGGUUUUCAGUUCACAGGUGUGUCUUUAUAUCCACUGUCCUGUCCUCAUAUGUGGACAGUUUGCUGUGAAACAAACAGAUUAUUAUUUAUUGUCAGAUAUCAAACAUCAUUUCACAUGUAAACAGCCUGAACCAGAGUAGAAACCAGACAUGUAUUUAAUAUUAAAGGCGCCUUUCAGGACAUCACAUCCUCCAGGACGCCCUGACGAAUCAGAGGCUCACAUUUCCGCAGCAGGAAGUGCUGAGGACAAAGACACCAAGCGUUAACAAAUUAAAUUAAAACAGUAGAAGAAGAAGAGGCGCUUCCUGUUCUUCUUCAGCAGGAUCACUGUGUGUUUUCCAAGUGCUGCUUGAUGUGGUUUAUUCCUGAAAAACAGUGAGGAUGAAAAUAUAAAUGGUGGAAUUAAUACAACUUUAUAAUAUGUCAUGAGCCCAACAUAAUAUUGCAUCUAUGAUUGAUUUAUGAAUUUACAAAGAGUCUAAAUGUUCAGCUAUAAACUUAUUCUUCAUUCUCCACAUGUUCAGCUCCGUAUCUUUUAAGCUGGUGCACAUGCUUUCUCUGAAACAGUAAAAGACGUUCAACCAUAA